GCUACACAAGUGUUUUGCUUUACUGAAUACACAGUGCCUGAUUGUUCUCCAAAGCUGCUGAGGCAAUUUACUUUGCCAUCAAUAACGGGUGACAUGCAAGGGGCCUUUUCACUUCAACAGAAAAACAAGUCAUUGUUUAGUUUAAAAUAAUGGAAAAUCAUUGUGUAGUGAAUGAUCGUGUGUUCACACUUGCACAUGUGUGUAUAAAUAAAGGUCAUUUUUUUCUAA